rnacentral:rRNA from 1 species
AGUGAACGCUGGCGGCAGGCCUAAUACAUGCAAGUCGAACGGCAGCACAGCAGAGCUUGCUCUGUGGGUGGCGAGUGGCGGACGGGUGAGGAAUACAUGGGAAUCUGCCCAGUCGUAGGGGAUAACGUAUGGAAACGUACGCUAAUACCGCAUGCGCCCUUUGGGGGAAAGCCGGGGACCUUCGGGCCUGGCGCGAUUGGAUGAGCCCAUGUUCGAUUAGCUAGUUGGCGGGGUAAAGGCCCACCAAGGCGACGAUCGAUAGCUGGUCUGAGAGGAUGAUCAGCCACACUGGGACUGAGAUACGGCCCAGACUCCUACGGGAGGCAGCAGUAGGGAAUAUUGGACAAUGGGCGCAAGCCUGAUCCAGCCAUGCCGCGUGAGUGAAGAAGGCCCUCGGGUUGUAAAGCUCUUUUGUCCGGAAAGAAAAGCAUUCGGUUAAUACCCGGGUGUUCUGACGGUACCGGAAGAAUAAGCACCGGCUAACUUCGUG